GAGCCAUUAGCUCAGUCGGUAGAGCACCUGACUUUUAAUCAGGGUGUCGCUGGUUCGAGUCCAGCAUGGCUCA
rfam:Carboxydocella sporoproducens DSM 16521 genome assembly, contig: BR84DRAFT_scaffold00004.4